CCCUUCGGGGUACUCGAGUGGCGAACGGGUGAGUACACGUGGGUGAUCUGCCCUGCACUUUGGGAUAAGCCUGGGAAACUGGGUCUAAUACCGAAUACACCCUUCUGGCUGCAUGGUCUGGUUGGGGAAAGCUUUUGCGGUGUGGGAUGGGCCCGCGGCCUAUCAGCUUGUUGGUGAGGUUACGGCUCACCAAGGCGACGACGGGUAGCCGGCCUGAGAGGGUGACCGGCCACACUGGGACUGAGAUACGGCCCAGACUCCUACGGGAGGCAGCAGUGGGGAAUAUUGCACAAUGGGCGCAAGCCUGAUGCAGCGACGCCGCGUGAGGGAUGACGGCCUUCGGGUUGUAAACCUCUUUCGCCAGGGACGAAGCGCAAGUGACGGUACCUGGAGAAGAAGGACCGGCCAACUACGUGCCAGC
rnacentral:rRNA from 1 species